rnacentral:rRNA from 1 species
CCUACGGGUGGCAGCAGUGGGGAAUAUUGGGCAAUGGGCGCGAGCCUGACCCAGCAACGCAGCGUGAAGGAAGAAUGCUUUAGGGUUGGAAACUUCUUUUAUCAGGGACGAAGCAAGUGACGGUACCUGAUGAAUAAGCCACGGCUAACUACGUGCCAGCAGCCGCGGUAAUACGUAGGUGGCAAGCGUUAUCCGGAUUUACUGGGUGUAAAGGGCGUGUAGGCGGGAGUGCAAGUCAGAUGUGAAAACUAUGGGCUCAACCCAUAGACUGCAUUUGAGACUGGACUCCUUGAGUGCUGGAGAGGUAAUCGGAAUUCGGGGUGUAGCGGUGAAAUGCGUAGAUAUCAGGAGGAACACCAGUGGCGAAGGCGGAUUGCUGGACAGUAACUGACACUGAGGCGCGAAAGCGUGUGGAGCAAACAGGAUUAGAUACCCCAGUAGUC